GUUAAGCUUGAAUUGUUCCUCUGUUCUAGGCACACCAGUGAGUUCUUGGGGAUGCACAAAAGUGUCCGGUUGAGAAACUUAUGAUAUACAAGACAAGACCCUGCCUCAGGAAGCGUACAUGAGAAUAAUUUUAAAGGAACCUUUUGGUAGAUGCAAAACAAUAGCUGUCCAAGGUAUGUAGUAAUGGAGAGCGUGGACUGAACUUGGUGUGGCCCACUGUGCUGUACUGAGUCAAGGUGAGCUGUUCUCUGGGAAUGGAGACUGCUUAGUCACCAGUGUCUGCUGUUUCUUACCCUUGAUGGUGUACUGGGAUGUCAUUCUUCACUGCUGGGGCAGCUCUUUCUCAGCACCUUCAGGGUCCUUCCUGUUGUCUGAAGGACAGUGAAGAAGGUAGCGAUAACCUUUG
rnacentral:lncRNA from 1 species